UCAGUUCGGAUUGUAGGCUGAAACUCGCCUACAUGAAGCUGGAGUUACUAGUAAUCGCAGAUCAGCAUGCUGCGGUGAAUACGUUCCCGGGUCUUGUACACACCGCCCGUCACACCAUGGGAGUCGGAUAUGCCCGAAGCCGGUGACCUAACCGCAAGGAAGGAGCCGUCGAAGGUGGAGCCGAUGACUGGGGUGAAGUCGUAACAAGGUAGC
rnacentral:rRNA from 1 species